rnacentral:rRNA from 1 species
UACGGAGGGAGCUAGCGUUAUUCGGAAUUACUGGGCGUAAAGCGCACGUAGGCGGCUUUGUAAGUUAGAGGUGAAAGCCUGGAGCUCAACUCCAGAAUUGCCUUUAAGACUGCAUCGCUUGAAUCCAGGAGAGGUGAGUGGAAUUCCGAGUGUAGAGGUGAAAUUCGUAGAUAUUCGGAAGAACACCAGUGGCGAAGGCGGCUCACUGGCCCGUUACUGACGGCUGAGGCACGAAAGCGUGGGGAGCAAACAGG